GGUUGAUCCUGCCAGUAGUCAUAUGCUUGUCUCAAAGAUUAAGCCAUGCAUGUCUAAGUAUAAACAAUUUUAUACGGUGAAACUGCAGAUGGCUCAUUAAAUCAGUCAUAAUUUAUUUGAUGAUUACUUACUACAUGGAUAACCGUAGUAAUUCUAGAGCUAAUACAUGCGUAAAAUCCUGACUCUUGCGGGAAGGGAUGUAUUUAUUAGAUAAAAAAUCAAUGCGAGCGGGCAACCGUUCGGUUUGAGAUGAUUCAUAAUAACUGUUCGAAUCGCAUGGCUUCACGCCGGCG
rnacentral:rRNA from 1 species